rnacentral:rRNA from 1 species
GCCAGCAGCUAGCUCUCUAUAACUCUCACAUGGUUGCACACUAAAGCUAAGCAGGGCUGUGUCUGGUCAGUACCAGGAUGGGGGAUCACAUAAGAAAGCUAGGUUGCUGCCGGAA